AGGAAAUAAAAGAUAAAAUUGAUGCAUCAUUUGGAAGUUUAGAAUUUCAAUUUUAAUAUUGUUAUUUUUAUUGAGUUGUUAAAUAUAGGUUGAUAGAUUUUUUUCAUAUUAAUAAAUUAAUUGAUUUACUUGUUUCCUUAUUGCCCCUUUUAAUAAUGGAACAGCCCUAGUCAUUAAUAUUUUGCAGUUUUCAUUAUGUUUUGUCCAGUGUGUCAAGCAUGUAUUUACAUUGAUUUCAAGCAUAUAUUUACAUUGACAAAUAAAAAUAAUCAACUG
rnacentral:misc_RNA from 1 species